rnacentral:rRNA from 1 species
GACGAACGCUGGCGGCGUGCUUAACACAUGCGAGUCGAACGGAAAGGCCCUGCUUGCAGGGUACUCGAGUGGCGAACGGGUGAGUAACACGUGGGUGAUCUGCCCUGCACUUCGGGAUAAGCCUGGGAAACUGGGUCUAAUACCGGAUAGGAGCCAUUUUAGGGGGGAUGGUGGGAAGGUUUUUUCGGUGUAGGAUGAGCUCGCGGCCUAUCAGCUUGUUGGUGGGGUAAUGGCCUACCAAGGCGGCGACGGGUAGCCGGCCUGAGAGGGUGGACGGCCACAUUGGGACUGAGAUACGGCCCAGACUCCUACGGGAGGCAGCAGUGGGGAAUAUUGCACAAUGGGCGCAAGCCUGAUGCAGCGACGCCGCGUGGGGGAUGACGGCCUUCGGGUUGUAAACUCCUUUCGCUAGGGACGAAGCUUUUUGUGACGGUACCUAGAUAAGAAGCACCGGCUAACUACGUG